rnacentral:rRNA from 1 species
UUUAGAUAUAAAUUAUUUUUAACUUGAGUAGUAUUAGUUAGGGUCUUGAAACUUAAAGAAUUUGGCGGUAUUUUAGUCUUUUUAGAGGAAUCUGUUCCUUAAUCGAUAGUCCGCGUUGAACCUUACCAGGAUUAUUAUAUGUAUACCGCCGUUAUAAUGAAAAUCUUUUUAGGGUAAAUUGAAUUUUCUUGAUUUAAUUAUAUAAAUUAUUUCAGGUCAAGGUGCAGUUUAUGUUUUGGUGGAGAUGGAUUACAUUUAUAUUUAUUAUUGGAUUAUUAUUUGAAAUUUUAUUAUGAAAUUGGAUUUAAUUGUAAUUUUUUGUAGAUUGUAAUAAUGAUUUUGGCUCUAAAAUAUGU